UCCGUAGGUGAACCUGCGGAAGGAUAUUGUCGAGACCCGAACAGACGAUUGCGAACUCGUAAAUGCUCCUGCAGGGGCGGAGGGAGGGCGCGGAUAUUCGAACUGCCCGACCUCGUACCUCGGGGCACCAUAGCCGCCCUCGUCCCGUACUGUUACGGGACGGGCGGUUGGAACAACACCGGCAUGGUGGGCGUCAAAGAACAGUGCUGUCGGAGAGCAUCCCAUGCCGAUCUCGGCGCGCAGCGCGAUCCUUCCAUUCAUCAAACCAUUACGACUCUCGGAAAUGGUAUCAUGGCUCUCACAUCGAUGAAGAAAGUAGCGAAAUGCCAUACAUGGUGUGAAUUGUAGAGUCCUGCGAACCAUCGUGCCUUUGAACGCAAGUAACGCCCGAGGCUAUCCGGCUAAGGGCAUGCUUGUCUGGGCGUCACGCCUCGCGUCGCUCCGUGCACCCCGUCCCGGGGAGGUGGCGGGUGCGGAUGCAGAGAUUAGCCCCCAUGCCUGACGGUACGGCAGGUAGAAGUGCGUACUGCCGAUCGAGACGGACGCGCCGAGUGGUGGAAGGACACGUACGGUGCUGAACAUUGCCUCUGCCCCCCGGCCACGGCGGUAUAUGCAAGGAACCCAUGCCGAGAAUCCCUCUGAACAUGACCCCAGGUCUGGCGGGGUCACCCGCUGUGCUUAAGCAUAUCAAUAAGCGGAG
rnacentral:rRNA from 1 species